UGCCUCGGCAGGAGCCGGUGCCGGAGCAGCGCUGGCUCGUCCCGGCUGCUGUGGGUAGGACAGAGGUGGCUGCCCCGUGGCCGGCAGUGUGCGGGAAAGUUCCCGUGGCCAGAGGUUUGUGUCCCCAGAGGAGCCGGAGGAGUCGUGUAAAAGUAACUUUAUUCGUGGACAAAGGGAGAGGCCACGGGGCAUUUCCCGUGGGGUCUGUCCAAGUGUUGGAGGACGCAGCCUCCUUUUUAUGCCGAUUUGCCCGGCCGCAUCUCCGUGUCCCUUUCCGCAGUGGCUGAGGUCCUUGGAAGGUACAGACUUCCCGAUCCGCCUGCUGCAUGUGCCCCUUGAUGUGCACCCCCACUUUGUAGAACAUCCGAUAUUCAUGGCUCUGUGAAGGCUUUGUUCUUCUUCUGGAACUUCAGGAAUUUAGCGGGACCUUGGCUGAGCAGCAGUUCGUGUCAGUUAGUAACAUUUUCUAAAAUUUAUGGUUUCUCCCAUUGCUUGCUUAUCUCCAAAUCCCUGGCCCUAUCUGCAAUGGGAUUCACACCAUCUGUUUGUAAAGACACGUUCAUUUUUUUCCCUUUUAGUCCCUUGUCUUCUUAUUUUCUCAGCACUUCUCUUUACAAUUUUUAUAAUUGCCUUAAUCUGUUCUUCCUGGGCCUUCUUUGGUUUGGGGAUUAUUCUCAGUGACCUCAUUCUGUGUCCUUUUGUAGCCGUUUCUGGAUCAGGAGGCCUGGCUGCCACCUGCAUGCCCUUGAUCCCCUGCUGAAUGAGCUGCACUGAGCAAGGUGUGGUGCAUGGUAAAAAGAUGAGAGUUGCUGCAGCACCUGAGAGGAGAAACAGCAUUGGUUUAACCCAUGGUCUGCCAGGGAACCACGAAAACGUGUCCCAUUCCAAUCCUUUCCACGUUUGGAGCAGUACAUGAGCUGCUUUCUUCUUUCCUUUGUUCUCUGUUUCACCACUUCUCCUUGGCCAUCUCUUUGCCAAGAGCACUUUGAGUCAUUUAAUUUUCCACAACCUGCUGGUCCUUCUGCUGAAAGAGAAUCUGAUGCCAUCCCAGGGUGAACUGUGGCGUUGCUCAUGGGAGUGGAUUGGUGGGUGAGAAGGAAUACUGGACAGUCCUUGAGGUCUUUUCCAACCUCACUGAUUCCACAAUUCCAAUUUUCUCCGGCCCAAGGGCAUCUUCCACAACCAAAUGGUGAUGGACUGGGGCAAAGACCAAGAUUCUGGAGACAGUGGGGUGGAAACGCCCCAGAAGAAGCUUCUUCACUCCAACCCCAGCAUGAGAAUCCUCAGCCGGCACAGACACGGAAAUCCUUUUCUUUUGGUUUUCUUUUCAUUUCUCUUCAUCCCUUCAAUACACUUGAAACUGGGGUAAAAAUAAAGACAUUGAACU